rfam:Dipodomys ordii contig_41838, whole genome shotgun sequence.
GGGAAUGUGGCUUAGUGGUAGAGCACUUGCCUAGCAUGCAUGAAGCCCUGGGUUCGAUUUCUCAGUACCA